CUCCUCCAUGGGUGUAGGUGCUCCAUGUUGAGGGACUUGUGUUGUGGUGGGUGCUGACUGAGCUAAGGGUGUAAAGGGGUUUAUGGUCGUCUGAAUAUGCUGAGCUCGCGCUCGUCUAGAUGCCAAUACUGUCUCCCAUUCUUC
rnacentral:misc_RNA from 1 species